rnacentral:rRNA from 1 species
AGGUAGUAACAACCAUUUGAGUCUGGGAUUUCUGAAUGGGGAAACCCACUUACAUAAGUAAGUAUCCUUACCUGAAUACAUAGGGUAAGGAGGCGAACCGGGGGAACUGAAACAUCUAAGUACCCCGAGGAAAAGAAAUCAACCGAGAUUCCGAAAGUAGCGGCGAGCGAAAUUGGACUAGCCCUUAAGCUUUACACGCGUUAGACGAACGGUCUGGAAAGUCCGACGAUACAGGGUGAUAGUCCCGUAGUUGACGACGUGUGUUCAGUGAAAUCGAGUAGGGCGGGACACGUGAUAUCCUGUCUGAAUAUGGGGGGACCAUCCUCCAAGGCUAAAUACUACUGACUGACCGAUAGUGAACCAGUACCGUGAGGGAAAGGCGAAAAGAACCCCUGUGAGGGGAGUGAAAUAGAACCUGAAACCGUGUACGUACAAGCAGUAGGAGCAGGCUUUGUCCUGUGACUGCGUACCUUUUGUAUAAUGGGUCAGCGACUUAUAUUCAGUGGCAAGGUUAACCAUCUAGGGGAGCCGUAGGGAAACCGAGUCUUAACUGGGCGUUCAGUCUCUGGAUAUAGACCCGAAACCAGGUGAUCUAGCCAUGGGCAGGUUGAAGGUUGAGUAACAUCAACUGGAGGACCGAACCGACUAAUGUUGAAAAAUUAGCGGAUGACUUGUGGCUAGGGGUGAAAGGCCAAUCAAACCUGGAGAUAGCUGGUUCUCCCCGAAAGCUAUUUAGGUAGCGCCUCGGACGAAUACUACUGGGGGUAGAGCACUGUUAAGGCUAGGGGGUCAUCCCGACUUACCAACCCUUUGCAAACUCCGAAUACCAGUAAGUACUAUCCGGGAGACACACGGCGGGUGCUAACGUCCGUCGUGGAGAGGGAAACAACCCAGACCGCCAGCUAAGGUCCCAAAUUACUACUAAGUGGGAAACGAUGUGGGAAGGCUCAGACAGCCAGGAUGUUGGCUUAGAAGCAGCCAUCAUUUAAAGAAAGCGUAAUAGCUCACUGGUCGAGUCGGCCUGCGCGGAAGAUGUAACGGGGCUAAGUAGUAAACCGAAGCUGCGGCAAUAUACUUUUGUAUAUUGGGUAGGGGAGCGUUCUGUAAGCGGUUGAAGGUGUGUGGUAACGCA